GCAGUCGAGCGGGAAAACGACACUGGACAAUCCUUCGGGUGCGUUAAUGGACGUCGAGCGGCGGACGGGUGAGUAAUGCCUAGGAAAUUGCCUUGAUGUGGGGGAUAACCAUUGGAAACGAUGGCUAAUACCGCAUGAUGCCUACGGGCCAAAGAGGGGGACCUUCGGGCCUCUCGCGUCAAGAUAUGCCUAGGUGGGAUUAGCUAGUUGGUGAGGUAAUGGCUCACCAAGGCGACGAUCCCUAGCUGGUCUGAGAGGAUGAUCAGCCACACUGGAACUGAGACACGGUCCAGACUCCUACGGGAGGCAGCAGUGGGGAAUAUUGCACAAUGGGCGCAAGCCUGAUGCAGCCAUGCCGCGUGUAUGAAGAAGGCCUUCGGGUUGUAAAGUACUUUCAGUUGUGAGGAAGGGUGUGUAGUUAAUAGCUGCACAUCUUGACGUUAGCAACAGAAGAAGCACCGGCUAACUCCGUGCCAGCAGCCGCGGUAAUACGGAGGGUGCGAGCGUUAAUCGGAAUUACUGGGCGUAAAGCGCAUGCAGGUGGUUCAUUAAGUCAGAUGUGAAAGCCCGGGGCUCAACCUCGGAACUGCAUUUGAAACUGGUGAACUAGAGUACUGUAGAGGGGGGUAGAAUUUCAGGUGUAGCGGUGAAAUGCGUAGAGAUCUGAAGGAAUACCAGUGGCGAAGGCGGCCCCCUGGACAGAUACUGACACUCAGAUGCGAAAGCGUGGGGAGCAAACAGGAUUAGAUACCCUGGUAGUCCACGCCGUAAACGAUGUCUACUUGGAGGUUGUGGCCUUGAGCCGUGGCUUUCGGAGCUAACGCGUUAAGUAGACCGCCUGGGGAGUACGGUCGCAAGAUUAAAACUCAAAUGAAUUGACGGGGGCCCGCACAAGCGGUGGAGCAUGUGGUUUAAUUCGAUGCAACGCGAAGAACCUUACCUACUCUUGACAUCCAGAGAAUCCAGCGGAGACGCAGGAGUGCCUUCGGGAGCUCUGAGACAGGUGCUGCAUGGCUGUCGUCAGCUCGUGUUGUGAAAUGUUGGGGUUAAGUCCCGCAACGAGCGCAACCCUUAUCCUUGUUUGCCACCGAGUCAUGUCGGGAACUCCAGGGAAACUGGCCGGUGAAAACCCGGAGGAAGGUGGGGGACAACGUCCAGUCAUCUUGGGCCCUUACAAAAAAGGGGUACCCCCCGGGUUCAAAUGGGGGCAAAAAAAGGGCGGCCAGCCCCCCGAUGGGAGCGAAUCCCAAAAA
rnacentral:rRNA from 1 species